rnacentral:tRNA from 1 species
GGCGGUGUAGCUCAGAGGUUAGAGCAUACGGCUCAUAUCCGUAGUGUCGGGGGUUCAAAUCCCUCCACCGCCACCA